rnacentral:rRNA from 1 species
AACGAACGCUGGCGGCGUGGAUAAGACAUGCAAGUCGAACGGGAUUCCUUUCGGUAGCAAUACUGAGAGGGAUUUAGUGGCGAACGGGUGCGUAACACGUAGGCAAUCUGCCGAAAAGUGGGGGGAUAGCUCGCCGAAAGGCGAAUUAAUACCGCAUAUGAUCAGAGGCGACAUCGCUUCGAAAUCAAAGGUGCUGCAAGGUACCGCUUUUUGAGGAGCCCGCGGCCUAUCAGCUAGUUGGUGAGGUAACGGCUCACCAAGGCUUUGACGGGUAGCUGGUCUGAGAGGACGACCAGUCACACUGGAACUGAGACACGGUCCAGACACCUACGGGUGGCAGCAGUCGAGUAAUUUUUCUCAAUGGGGGCAACCCUGAAGGAGCGACGCCGCGUGG